rnacentral:rRNA from 1 species
GGAAUCUUCGGCAAUGGGGGCAACCCUGACCGAGCAACGCCGCGUGAGUGAAGAAGGUUUUCGGAUCGUAAAGCUCUGUUGUAAGAGAAGAACGUGUGUGAGAGUGGAAAGUUCACACAGUGACGGUAACUUACCAGAGAGGGACGGCUAACUACGUGCUAG